CUUGAGUUGAGUGCAGGAUGUGUAUAAAAGGCCUCAGACCAUACUGUCUCCUCACUUCCCCUGACCUAUCCAUUGCUUGCCUGACAUUGGGAAGCAAGAGUAACUGAACUUUUCCCAAGAUGUCCAGCCAGCAAACCCAGCAGAAGUGUCAGCUCCCUGCCAAGUGUCUUCCCAAGUGUCCACCGAAGUGCCUCGCUCAGGCCCCUCAGGCCCCACAGGCCCUGGCUCUCUGCCCAGCUCCCUGCCCCCCACCUGUCCCCUCCUGCUGUGUCCACAGUUGCUGUACCACUGGCUUCGGAAGCUGCUGCUCUCUGGGGUCUCAUCGGUUUCCGGAUGUCUGUCUAGGCCCACUUCAGCCUUCCAACUGCUGGGAGAGGGAGUCCUCCAGUUGUUGCCAUGGAUUUGGGGGCUGCAGCUUUUGAUGAGCUUUGGUUCAUCCAUAGCCAAGGCUGAGCCUGGAGUUGACGACAUUCCUCACUCGCACCUUGUUCUCAUUCUCCUCCUGAACUAAGAUGCCUAGAUGUGUACUUAAAGAAUUCCUCUUUUUGCUAAAAACCUCAGGCCUCUUGGCCUUGGCUCUUUCCUACAUCAAUACCUGAAUGCUACAAAAAAACUCUGCUUCCCACAGCAUUAUCAACAUGUAAAAAUAAAGCCUAUCUUUCCUGGCACCCUGA